rnacentral:rRNA from 1 species
AGAUUGAACGCUGGCGGCGUGCCUAACACAUGCAAGUCGAACGAGAAAGUGGAGCAAUCCAUGAGUAAAGUGGCGCACGGGUGAGUAACACGUGACUAACCUACCCUUGAGUGGGGGAUAACCUAGGGAAACCUGGGCUAAUACCGCAUAAUACCUUCGGGUCAAAGGAGCAAUUCGCUUAAGGAGGGGGUCGCGGCCGAUUAGUUAGUUGGCGGGGUAAUGGCCCACCAAGACUGUGAUCGGUA